CCUACGGGAGGCAGCAGUGAGGAAUAUUGGUCAAUGGCCGAGAGGCUGAACCAGCCAAGUCGCGUGAGGGAAGACGGCCCUACGGGUUGUAAACCUCUUUUGUCGGGGAGCAAAGAGAGUCACGUGUGACUCAUUGAGAGUACCCGAAGAAAAAGCAUCGGCUAACUCCGUGCCAGCAGCCGCGGUAAUACGGAGGAUGCGAGCGUUAUCCGGAUUUAUUGGGUUUAAAGGGUGCGCAGGCGGAGGUGCAAGUCAGCGGUCAAAUUGCGGGGCUCACCCCCCUACUGCCGUUGAAACUGCAUCCC
rnacentral:rRNA from 1 species